CUGAAAGUAAAUUGUCAUGUACCUAAUGCAAAAAAAUAAAAAGAAGUAAAAACAAAAAGAAUCAUGGACUGUAUGGACCGCAUGGUCAUGAUUCAAACACAGCGUACACCGCACUCCACACGAUCCCUACCCCCACUCUCCUAACCGAGUAACCGUUGACUCGUCUGGAGUACGACUUGUUCUCCAACGACUCUCUUCAUCUUCCUUGAAAAAUCCUUCGCACAACCCUUUAAUGGCGGCUUCCUAAUCAAUCCCUAAUUUUCCAUUCUCUCUCUCUCAUUUUCUUCCAAAAUGAACUCUACCCUUCAAUCUGUUCUUGCCGCCGCUGCUAGUUUCUUCUUCAUCUCUGCUUUCUUUGCUUUCAUCUGCCUCAUCUGCAAAUCCUCCAAAAAUCGCACGCGUCGCUACAACCUCCACCAUCCCCAACACCAAACACUCGGAUUGAACGGUAUCCGAACUGUGCCCAAUCCUCACCUCUCUUCCAUAACCAUCGAUGAAAGUGCCACUUUUGACCCCAGUUUGAACCGGGUCUCCAUGGAUGAGCUAAAAAUCGCUACCAAGAAUUUCUCCGCUGACUUGAUUGUCGGCGACGGCAGUUUCGGGUUCGUAUAUAAAGCCAGUCUCUCCGACGGCGUCACCGUGGCCAUCAAGAAGCUCGACCCCAACGCCUUUCAAGGUUUUCGGGAGUUCCGAGCAGAGAUGGAAACCUUAGGUAAGCUACAACACCCAAAUAUUGUGAGAAUUCUUGGGUACUGCGUGUCCGGGCUCGAUAGGGUGUUAAUUUACGAGUUCAUUGAGAAAGGCAACCUGGACCAAUGGCUGCACUACUCGUCGCCGGGGAGCGAACAGUUAGCGAAUUUACCGUUAUCUUGGGAGACGAGGAUUAAGGUAGUGAGAGGCAUAGCAAAUGGGCUUGCAUAUCUGCACCAGUUGGAGACUCCAAUUAUACACAGAGAUAUCAAGGCCAGUAAUGUCUUAUUGGACUCGGAAUUCGAAGCCCAUAUUGCCGAUUUUGGGUUGGCACGGGCGAUCGACGGACCACAUUCGCAUGUGUCAACGCAGGUGGCCGGAACAAUGGGGUACAUGCCACCGGAGUACAAAGAGGGAGUGACAGCGGCUACGGUGAAAGCAGAUGUUUAUAGUUUUGGAAUAUUAAUGAUCGAAAUCGCGACAGGUGAAAGGCCUAAUUUGCCAAUGGUUUUAGAGGGGAAGGAGGUGGGGUUGAUAGUAUGGGCAAGGAAAAUGUUGGAGCAAAAUAGGCAUAUGGAAAUGUUGGAUUCAAAAAUGGCAAAGGAAGGGUUAAGGGAAGAAAGAGUAAAGGAAUACUUUGGAAUUGCUUCAAUGUGUACUAGUGAAAUAAUGAUGGAUAGGCCACUUGCGAGUGAGGUUGUUCAUUUGUUGAAUGGGCUUGCCACAUGAGUGGGGGAUGUUGCUAUGCUAUUGCUAAUUGCUACAACUGAUGUAAAUAGCUCUUUGCAUAAGAAUGUAGGUAGAAAAAAAUAGUUGUUAGAAUUCUCAAGUGGUGAGCUCAAAAUUAUGCUUUGUUUCUUCAAGAUUGUUGUUUUUUACCAGGUGGUGUAUGAGUUUACUGAGAUUUCAAGAAUGUUUUUUUCAUCAUAAUGAGAAGAAGGUCCUAAAUGACCAUUUUAUAAAUUUGAUUGUACUGUUGUUGGUAAAUUUAUUGUUGCAG
rnacentral:misc_RNA from 1 species